UACGAAGGGUGCAAGCGUUAAUCGGAAUUACUGGGCGUAAAGGGUGCGUAGGCGGUUCGUUAAGUCUGUCGUGAAAUCCCCGGGCUCAACCUGGGAAUGGCAGUGGAUACUGGGAGGCUAGAGUGUGUCAGAGGAUGGUGGAAUUCCCGGUGUAGCGGUGAAAUGCGUAGAGAUCGAGAGGAACAUCAGUGGCGAAGGCGGCCAUCUGGGACAACACUGACGCUGAGGCACGAAAGCGUGGGGAGCAAACAAG
rnacentral:rRNA from 1 species